AGAGUUUGAUCCUGGCUCAGGACGAACGCUGGCGGCGUGCCUAAUACAUGCAAGUAGAACGCUGAAGGGAGGAGCUUGCUCUUCUUGGAUGAGUUGCGAACGGGUGAGUAACGCGUAGGUAACCUGCCUUGUAGCGGGGGAUAACUAUUGGAAACGAUAGCUAAUACCGCAUAACAAUGGAUGACACAUGUCAUUUAUUUGAAAGGGGCAAUUGUUCCACUACAAGAUGGACCUGCGUUGUAUUAGCUAGUAGGUGAGGUAAUGGCUCACCUAGGCGACGAUACAUAGCCGACCUGAGAGGGUGAUCGGCCACACUGGGACUGAGGCACGGCCCAGACUCCUACGGGAGGCAGCAGUAGGGAAUCUUCGGCAAUGGGGGCAACCCUGACCGAGCAACGCCGCGUGAGUGAAGAAGGUUUUCGGAUCGUAAAGCUCUGUUGUAAGUCAAGAACGGGUGUGAGAGUGGAAAGUUCACACUGUGACGGUAGCUUACCAGAAAGGGACGGCUAACUACGUGCCAGCAGCCGCGGUAAUACGUAGGUCCCGAGCGUUGUCCGGAUUUAUUGGGCGUAAAGCGAGCGCAGGCGGUUUGAUAAGUCUGAAGUUAGAGGCUGUGGCUCAACCAUAGUUCGCUUUGGAAACUGUCAAACUUGAGUGCAGAAGGGGAGAGUGGAAUUCCAUGUGUAGCGGUGAAAUGCGUAGAUAUAUGGAGGAACACCGGUGGCGAAAGCGGCUCUCUGGUCUGUAACUGACGCUGAGGCUCGAAAGCGUGGGGAGCGAACAGGAUUAGAUACCCUGGUAGUCCACGCCGUAAACGAUGAGUGCUAGGUGUUGGAUCCUUUCCGGGAUUCAGUGCCGCAGCUAACGCAUUAAGCACUCCGCCUGGGGAGUACGACCGCAAGGUUGAAACUCAAAGGAAUUGACGGGGGCCCGCACAAGCGGUGGAGCAUGUGGUUUAAUUCGAAGCAACGCGAAGAACCUUACCAGGUCUUGACAUCCCGAUGCUAUUUCUAGAGAUAGAAAGUUACUUCGGUACAUCGGUGACAGGUGGUGCAUGGUUGUCGUCAGCUCGUGUCGUGAGACGUUGGGUUAAGUCCCGCAACGAGCGCAACCCCUAUUGUUAGUUGCCAUCAUUCAGUUGGGCACUCUAGCGAGACUGCCGGUAAUAAACCGGAGGAAGGUGGGGAUGACGUCAAAUCAUCAUGCCCCUUAUGACCUGGGCUACACACGUGCUACAAUGGUUGGUACAACGAGUUGCGAGUCGGUGACGGCGAGCUAAUCUCUUAAAGCCAAUCUCAGUUCGGAUUGUAGGCUGCAACUCGCCUACAUGAAGUCGGAAUCGCUAGUAAUCGCGGAUCAGCACGCCGCGGUGAAUACGUUCCCGGGCCUUGUACACACCGCCCGUCACACCACGAGAGUUUGUAACACCCGAAGUCGGUGAGGUAACCUUUUGGAGCCAGCCGCCUAAGGUGGGACAGAUGAUUGGGGUGAAGUCGUAACAAGGUA
rnacentral:rRNA from 1 species